AGAGUUUGAUCAUGGCUCAGAUUGAACGCUGGCGGCAUGCUUUACACAUGCAAGUCGAGCGGCAGCGCGGGGGCAACCCUGGCGGCGAGCGGCGAACGGGUGAGUAAUACAUCGGAACGUACCCCGUAGUGGGGGAUAACUCAGCGAAAGCUGGGCUAAUACCGCAUAUGCUCUACGGAGGAAAGUGGGGGACCCGCAAGGACCUCAUGCUAUGGGAGCGGCCGAUGUCCGAUUAGCUUGUUGGUGAGGUAAAGGCUCACCAAGGCGACGAUCGGUAGCUGGUCUGAGAGGAUGAUCAGCCACACUGGGACUGAGACACGGCCCAGACUCCUACGGGAGGCAGCAGUGGGGAAUUUUGGACAAUGGGGGCAACCCUGAUCCAGCCAUGCCGCGUGCGGGAAGAAGGCCUUCGGGUUGUAAACCGCUUUUGUCCGGAAAGAAAAGGCAUCUCCUAAUACGGGAUGUUCUUGACGGUACCGGAAGAAUAAGCACCGGCUAACUACGUGCCAGCAGCCGCGGUAAUAC
rnacentral:rRNA from 1 species